GAAAGAGUUCAAAGAGGAGGUGUUUGCUGCUUGAUAUGACUGACCCAUGGGAAGCCAACCAUCCAGGGAGGGGCUUAUCGAGUCUGAAGUGGUCAUCCCGAGCUUUGACUGUUGAUUGAAGACAUUCAGCUGUCUGAGGUGCAGGAUGGAGGUUUGAAGAUCAAGCGGGAAUGCUGGAAAGAGACAGACAAAGGAGACUUCCACCUCAGACCUAAGGCAGUAGAAAGGACCUGGAGAGGUGAUCAGGUGGUGCCGCCCUUAGUUGGGAGCAUUAGGCGAUGCAGGGUGCAGCCCAAUGGACACUGCUACUGAAGAACUUCUGAUCCUGAGCGCAUAGAGUGCAUGUGCACCCAACAAAGAAUACCCACAGGGACUCAAAGAAGAAUUUACAAAUCUUCGUCACUCCAGACUGUUCUCACUCUACCUAAACCUGCAUCACUGAGAUCACCACCAUCAAUUUAAACUUUAAUAAGGCCAAAACUGAAGUCUUAUUUC